AGAGAUAGAGGAGUGCUCGAAAGAGAGCCGUAACACAGGUGCUGCAUGGCUGUCGUCAGCUCGUGUCGUGAGAUGUUGGUUAAGUCCCGCAACGAGCGCAACCCUUGUCAUUAGUUGCUACAUUCAGUUGGGCACUCUAAUGAGACUGCCGGUGACAAACCGGAGGAAGGUGGGGAUGACGUCAAGUCCUCAUGGCCCUUAUAGGUGGGGCUACACACGUCAUACAAUGGAUGGUACAAAGGGUCGCCAACCCGCGAGGGGGAGCCAAUCCCAUAAAGCCAUUCGUAGUCCGGAUCGCAGUCUGCAACUCGACUGCGUGAAGUCGGAAUCGCUAGUAAUCGUGGAUCAGAAUGUCACGGUGAAUACGUUCCCGGGUCUU
rnacentral:rRNA from 1 species